rnacentral:misc_RNA from 1 species
AAAGUCGUAACAAGGUCUCCGUUGGUGAACCAGCGGAGGGAUCAUUACUGAGUUACAAACUCCAAACCAUUGUGAACCUGUACCAUGUUGCUUCGGCGUGCCGUCCCGGGCGCGGCUCAGGCCGUGACCCGGACCCAGGCGGCCGCCGGGGACCCAAACCUCUGUUUUUAUAGUGGACUUCUGAGUGGCAUAAGCAAAUAAUCAAAACUUUCAGCAACGGAUCUCUUGGCUCUG